rnacentral:rRNA from 1 species
GACGAACGCUGGCGGCGUGCUUAACACAUGCAAGUCGAACGGAAAGGCCCUGCUUUUGUUGGUUUCUCGAUUGGCGAACGGGUGAGUAACACGUGAGUAUCCUCCCCUUGUCUUUGGGAUAACUUCAGGAAACUGGGGCUAAUACCGGAUAUGAUCUCCUGCUGCAUGUUGGGGGUUGGAAAGUUUCGGCGGUUGGGGAUGGACUCGCGGCUUAUCCGCUUGUUGGUGUGGUAGUGGCUUACCAAGGCUUUGACGGGUAGCCGGCCUGAGAGGGUGACCGGCCACAUUGGGACUGAGAUACGGCCCAGACUCCUACGGGAGGCAGCAGUGGGGAAUAUUGCACAAUGGGCGGAAGCCUGAUGCAGCAACGCCGCGUGCGGGAUGACGGCCUUCGGGUUGUAAACCGCUUUCGCCUGUGACGAAGCGUGAGUGACGGUAAUGGGUAAAGAAGCAACGGCUAACUACGUG